UUAGGUUUUUGUGUCUUAAUGCUUCAGUGAACAUGGAAAUGUAUAUAUGUCUUCAGCUCUUGAUAGUAUAUAUCAUAGGAAGUGGGUUGCUGGAUCAUAUAUACUCUGCUUUUUUAUUAUUAUUAUUUUUGCGGUUUUUUUUUUUUUUUUUGGUUUUUCAAGACAGGAUUUCUUUGUAUAGCCCUGGCUGUCCUGGCACUCACUUUGUAGACCAGGCUGGCCUUGAACUCAGAAAUCCACCUGCCUCUGCCUCCCGAGUGC
rnacentral:lncRNA from 1 species